GAUGAACGCUGGCGGCGUGCCUAAUACAUGCAAGUCGAACGCUUCACUUCGGUGAAGAGUGGCGAACGGGUGAGUAAUACAUAAGUAACCUGGCAUCUACAGGGGGAUAACUGAUGGAAACGUCAGCUAAGACCGCAUAGGUGUAGAGAUCGCAUGAACUCUAUAUGAAAAGUGCUACGGGACUGGUAGAUGAUGGACUUAUGGCGCAUUAGCUUGUUGGUAGGGUAACGGCCUACCAAGGCGACGAUGCGUAGCCGACCUGAGAGGGUGACCGGCCACACUGGGAUUGAGACACGGCCCAAACCCCUAGGGGAGGCACAAGUGGGGAAUUUUCGGCAAUGGGGAAACCCUGACCGAGCAACGCCGCGUGAAGGAAGAAGUAAUUCGUUAUGUAAACUUCUGUCAUAGAGGAAGAACGGUGGAUAUAGGGAAUGAUAUCCAAGUGACGGUACUCUAUAAGAAAGCCACGGCUAACUACGUG
rnacentral:rRNA from 1 species